UACGUAGGUGGCAAGCGUUGUUCGGAAUCACUGGGCAUAAAGCGCGCGUAGGCGGCUCUCUAAGUCGGGUGUGAAAGCCCUCGGCUCAACCGAGGAACGGCGCCCGAUACUGGAGAGCUUGAGGGCCGGAGGGGAGAGUGGAAUUCCCGGUGGAGCGGUGAAAUGCGUAGAGAUCGGGAAGAACGCCGGCGGCGAAAGCGACUCUCUGGUCGGUUCCUGACGCUGAGGCGCGAAAGCUAGGGGAGCAAACGGG
rnacentral:rRNA from 1 species